AACCACUACUAAUUCUUAACCAUAAACAUCUGCAUCCAAAUAAACUCUAUGGACCGCCCAUAGUGAGUUAGUAAUAAGAAAUAAAGAGAAUGUAAAAAACAGUGAAAAUCUAAACUACUUAAAAUCAUUCCCUCACAAUCAUGUUAGAAUUCAUGCUAUGUAUGACAUAGACCCUUGUCAGUUUCUAAUUAUGAAAAUCUGCAUCCAAAUAACCUAGUAAUUCAUUGGGAUAACACAGAUAGAAGACUGUUGGAUAGCUAUGAAAGUGAUCAAAAGACUAUAAUCGUAAUGGCUCAGUUAAAAUAAGAACAAUCCCUACAAAAUUGCAGCUUGCAGGUAACAGAAGGCUGAAGAAAAAGUGCAAUCAAAGUCAAAUUAUUCAUUGAGAUUCAUGUAAAACUUAUCCAGAAUCUUCACAUUUUCAAGCGAAG
rnacentral:misc_RNA from 1 species